UACGUAGGGGGCAAGCGUUGUCCGGAAUCAUUGGGCGUAAAGAGCGCGUAGGCGGUCCGGUAAGUCCGCUCUGAAAGUCCGGGGCUCAACCCCGGGAGGCGGGCGGAUACUGUCGGGCUAGAGUCCGGAAGAGGCGAGUGGAAUUCCUGGUGUAGCGGUGAAAUGCGCAGAUAUCAGGAGGAACACCAGUAGCGAAGGCGACACUCUGGGCCGGUACUGACGCUGAGGAGCGAAAGCGUGGGGAGCAAACAGG
rnacentral:rRNA from 1 species